rnacentral:rRNA from 1 species
UUGAACGCUGGCGGCAUGCCUUACACAUGCAAGUCGAACGAGGUCCAUGGAGUAGCAAUACUCCGGAAGACCUAGUGGCGAACGGGUGCGUAACACGUGAGGAACUUGUCCCGGUCUCUGGGAUAACAGUUGGAAACGACUGCUAAUACCGGAUGACGUCGGAGCGUCGCAUGGCGCGCUGACGAAAGGGUUACCGGAUCGGGAGAGCCUCGCGGCCUAUCAGCUUGUUGGCGGGGUAACGGCCCACCAAGGCAUCGACUGGUAGCUGGUCUGAGAGGAUGAUCAGCCACACUGGGACUGAGACACGGCCCAGACUCCUACGGGAGGCAGCAGUGGGGAAUCUUGCGCAAUGGGCGAAAGCCUGACGCAGCAACGCCGCGUGCGGGAAGAAGGCCCUCGGGUUGUAAACCGCUUUCAGCAGGAACGAAAAUGACGGUACUUGCAGAAGAAGGUGCGGCCAACUACGU